rnacentral:lncRNA from 1 species
UGCUGGACAUUCUACAGCUGUGAGGAAACCAUGUGUCAACGUUAUUUGUCAAAGUGGUGUGAUGGUGCAACUGUGCGGAAGUCUCUCCCUUCAUUCAGGUGCUGUACAUUCUGUGAAUACAAUGGAGAAUAAUGGAAGGGAGGAGAAUCUCUGCUGAUCCCACUACUCUAUCUCUGAGAAUUACGCACUGGCCUUUGAACAUGAC